UACGUAGGGUGCUAGCGUUGUUCGGAAUUAUUGGGCGUAAAGCGCGCGUAGGCGGGUUUGUAAGUCGAUUGUGAAAUCCCUGGGCUUAACCUGGGAAUGGCAGUCGAAACUGCAAAUCUUGAAUACCUAAGAGGAUGGCGGAAUUCCCGGUGUAGUAGUGAAAUACGUAGAUAUCGGGAGGAACACCUGAGGCGAAGGCGGCUAUCUGGUGGUGUAUUGACGCUGAGGCGCGAAAGCGUGGGGAGCAAAC
rnacentral:rRNA from 1 species